UGUAAGCGUAUACCUAAGUUGUUGCAGUUAAAACGCUCGUAGUCGGAAUUUGGCAGUUCCGGAUGUGUGCACGUCGUGUGCGCACUUCGCGGGGAUUGCUUUUGUGGUCUUGCGUAGGAUGAGGCACUUUUAUUAGUGAACGUCCUCACGCAACCACUUUUUACUGUGAGAAAAUCAGAGUGCUCAAAGCAGGCAUUUGCCGUGAAUGUAUUAGCAUGGAAUAAUAGAAUAGGACUUGGUUCUAUUUUGUUGGUUUGUUGGGACUGAGUAAUGAUUAAGAGGGACAGUUGGGGGCAUUUGUAUUUCGGUGCUAGAGGUGAAAUUCUUAGAUUACCGAAAGACAAACUGCUGCGAAAGCGUCUGCCAAGGAUGUUUUCAUUGA
rnacentral:rRNA from 1 species